rnacentral:rRNA from 1 species
CGAUAAAAGUUACCCUGGGGAUAACAGGCUAGUAGUGCCCAAGCGUCCAUAGCGACGGCACUGUUCGGCACCUCGAUGUCGGCUCAUCUUAUCCUGGGGCUGGAGCAGGUCCCAAGGGUUUGGCUGUUCGCCAAUUAAAAAGAUACGCGAGCUGGGUUUAGACCGUUCUGGUUGCGAAAAUAUUCGUUACCAGAACCAAUCUAAACCCGAGGAGGGGAGAGACACCCAAAGACAUCAUUCACGGCGGCGUAAGCAAGUGAUUGUUUACUGAGAAGUUGACUAUAUCGGUGAAAUCUUACACCAACGUGUGUUAGGAUAAUACCGAGGGAAGUCAAAUUAUGUCGCUCAAUUCGUCGCAAUUCAAAGCUUAUCUUGCUGGAUUCUUAGAUGGAGACGGAAGUAUAUAUGUGAGAGCAAAACCAAACAAUUCAUAUCGUUUUGGUUAUCAAAUUGCUCCCUAUGUAGCGUUCUUUCAGUCAGCAUCAUGUGAAUCUUUUCCAGCCAUGGUUAAAAGAGUAGGUUAUGGAAAAAUUCGUCUUAGAAAAGAUGGUAUUUAUGAAUUUACUAUCUCAAAACAAGAUGAAAUUAUUGAUUUUCUUACGAAAGUCAGUCCAUUUCUCAUUCUAAAGCAAGAACAAUCAAGACUUAUGUUAGAGAUACUUAAAACUAAGAAAAACAUUUCUAACGAACAAGACUUUAAACGGCUAUUGAAUCGAAUUGAUACGUUUCGAGAUUUAAAUUACUCGAAAAAGAGAAAGCGUAGAGUUUGACCCCGUAGAGACUACACGUCAACCUUCCUUGGCAGAGGAAGAAGAUAUAGUCCAAAAUUCAAAAACGAAUUAGCGUGAGACAGGUUGGUCUCCUAUCUACUGCAGGCGUCGAUACUUGACGAGAGUUGUCCCUAGUACGAGAGGACCGGGAUGAACAAACCUCUGGUCUGUCGGCUGUACCGCCAGGUGCACUGCCGAGUAGCUAUGUUUGGAACGGAUAACCGCUGAAAGCAUCUAAGCGGGAAGCCGCCUCGAAGAUAAGGUAUCAUUAAGUCCCCUGAGAGAUGAUCAGGUUGAUAGGCACUAGGUGUAAGCGCAGUAAUGUGUUAAGCCGAGGUGUACUAAUUGGACGUAAGGUCCCAUGGG